CCUAUACUUACCUUAGAACGCAUUUCAGUAAAUUCCCGUUAUCACUCUUACUCUUCAAAAUCAUGAUGCGAUUUCUAUUGCUCAUUUUGCUUCAUUUUGCACAUUGUCAAGAUGAAAAAGACGUAGUGAAAUUUGGUCGAGAACAUAUUGCAGCAUCAGCAUUCACAAAUUUUGAUGUAAUGAAACAUAAUAAUACAGUUUUUAAAGAGGAAUAUAAACUUUUUAACAAGGCAGAAGAUGUAGACAGCGUAACAGAUACUUAUGUUCGUAUCGCCCCAGUAGCAAGAGUUACAUCUGAAGACGUAAUGAAGCAAGUUUUGAAAGUUCAUCGGAAGUUGGAAGAGUACAACAAUAAAAGACGUGCAUCGAAGUUAAUCUGAACCAAAUGAAAACAACCGAAGCUUACCGUAAAUAUAAAAUAACCUACUGUAGAGUACAUUAAAGUUAAAAUUAAAUAUGUUUUAUGUAAUUUAUAUUAGCUUCACUCUCUUCUAAGAACUUAUAUUAGCAGACUUCUAUCGAUGCGACUUGGUUGGCAUGAAAUUGUGUUUUAACCGACUUCAAAAAAAAGGAGGAGGUUUCUCAAUUCGACCGUAUAUAUAUAUUUUUUUUGUGUUUUCGCGCAUAACUUCGUCAUUUAUACGAAUCGCGAGAACCAUGGAAAAAGUAAUCUGUGUUCUGCUCUAAGGGCCUAAACACUUCAUUCUCAGAAUGCGACUCGUGCUCAGCAGUGAGCCAAGUAUGGGUUAAUAAUGAUGACUCUGUGAAAUAGGACGUUUACUCUUUCAUGUGAGUAAUAACAGACAAACGCGCUUGUUUAACGAUUGUAUUUAUAGUGUAUUUCAAAUUCAAAAUUCAUUUCAAUUAGGCUUAGUUUACAAGCACUUUUGUAACGUCAAUGUAAUCACAUUGAUGAGUGAUGGUAAGUAAAGUCGAAAAUUAAAAAUAAUAAAGUUACGAGUGUUCGAAACGCGCCUUCAAAUAGGCUAAUAAUGAUAGAGCCUUAUUUCACCAUAGUGUCUGAAAAAAGCAUAUAAAAACAAAACAAUUAAUGGCCUUAAACUUAAUUGAUAUUUUUGUAAUUUUCCAUAACUUAUGUUUUAUGAAUAGGUACAAAGUCCACAUAACGUAUUGUGAGUCGUGAGAAACAUCGUUAUCAAUACCGAUAACAAAAAACGUACACAAUGUGAUAACAAAGUAAUUUGUAUUUUAAUGCUAAGAAGAAUUUAAAUUUUAAAUUACUCCAAUACUCCAAAUAUGAAAAUGUUUGCAACAUUCUUAGUUUGAAUCUAAAAAGAAAAUGACUUGUUUCAUAUACAUUUUGGUGCUAAAUUGUUUUUUUGCCAAUCUGUACUGUUUAAAUAAAGUGUCUUAUGACCAUGUUAAGGAAAAUUAUGAGAAAAUAAAAACAAAUACAGAUGCUUUAGAAAAAGAAACAAAGAAUUCAGUUCUAUUUGGUGACUCUAUUUCGUCCAAUUUCAAACCAGCUAUCGAUUCGAGCAAUCCUUUAGCUACCCAAUUUUAUAAAGUAAAUAGAGCUAACGUCAUGAAAGUCAAAAGAGAUGAUACAUCUGGAUCUGAAGAUACACACAUGAUGAUAGGAACAUUUCAAGCUAUAAUGCGACCGAUGACUGCUGGAAAUGUUGGCGCAGUAGAUGAAUCUAAACAUGGAGUUGAAUAAGCUUACAACGAAGCGUAAAAUUUGUAAUUCUUAUAAUAUUCAUUAAAUAUUGUAUGUCUCAUUAUAUUUUAUUGUAGCCGUAUAAAUGUAAUAUCGAAGGUU